CCAAUAGCGUAUAUUAAAGUUGUUGCAGUUAAAAAGCUCGUAGUUGAACUUCAGGCCUGGCUGGACGGUCCGCCUUCCGGGCGAGUACUGUCUGUGGUCGGGUCCUACCUUCUGGCGAAGCGUUAUGGCCUUAACCGGCUGUGGCGGGGAACCAGGACGUUUACUGUUAAAAAAUUAGAGUGGUCAAAGCAGGCAAUUCGCUUGGAUACAUUAGCAUGGAAUAAUGGAAUAGGACAAUGGUUCUAUUUGUUGGUUUCUAGGACUGUUGUAAUGAUUAAUAGGGAUAGUUGGGGGCAUUAGUAUUCAAUUGUCAGAGGUGAAAUUCUUGGAUUUAUUGAAGACUAACUACUGCGAAAGCAUUUGCCAAGGAUGUUUUCAUUAAUCAAGAACGAAAGUUAGGGGAUCGAAGACGAUCAGAUACCGUCGUAGUCUUAACCAUAAACUAUGCCGAUUAGGAAUCGGGCGAUGUUGACAAAAUGACGCGCUCGGCACCUCAUG
rnacentral:rRNA from 1 species